rnacentral:rRNA from 1 species
AGUGAACGCUGGCGGUAGGCCUAACACAUGCAAGUCGAACGGCAGCACAGUAAGAGCUUGCCCUUACGGGUGGCGAGUGGCGGACGGGUGAGGCAUACAUCGGAUUCUUCUUUUUCUUGGGUGAUAUCGUAGGGCCACUUACGCUACUACCUCAUACGACCUACUGCUUAAAUCAGGGGAUCUUCGCACCUUUCGCGUUUGAUUUAGCCGGUGUCGGAUUAGCUAGUUGGCGGGGUAAAGGCCCACCAAGGCGACGAUCCGUAGCUGGUCUGAGAGGAUGAUCGGCCACACUGGAACUGAGACACGGUCCAGACUCCUACGGGAGGCAGCAGUGGGGAAUAUUGGACAAUGGGCGAAAGCCUGAUCCAGCCAUACCGCGUGAGUGAAGAAGGCCUUCGGGUUGUAAAGCCCUGUUGUUAGGAAAGAAAAGCAGCAGGUUAAUACGCCGAUGUUCUGACGGUACCCAAAGAAUAAGCACCGGCUAACUUCGUG